UACGUAGGGGGCAAGCGUUGUCCGGAAUUAUUGGGCGUAAAGAGCGUGUAGGCGGUCCGGUAAGUCGGCUGUGAAAGUCCAGAGCUCAACCCUGGGAUGCCGGUCGAUACUGCCGGACUAGAGUUCGGAAGAGGCGAGUGGAAUUCCCGGUGUAGCGGUGAAAUGCGCAGAUAUCGGGAGGAACACCUAUGGCGAAGGCAGCUCGCUGGGACGUUACUGACGCUGAGACGCGAAAGCGUGGGGAGCAAACAGG
rnacentral:rRNA from 1 species